AUGGCGGACGGCGACCAGAACCAGCAGCCACCGCGCUACUGGUUCCCCUACUGGAGCGGGCCGCCGCCCCCGGUGCGCCCGCAGAUGUCGCGCCGCCUCUCCCCGCCCGCAGCGCCGUCCUCGCCAGCACUGCCGUCCUCGCCGCGCCGCCCUUCGCCCUCCCACCCCCGCCAACCCACUCCUCCUCGUGCGGCUCAGAGCCAGGCGUCCUCCCGCCCGUCCCCGUCCCGGGCCUCGCCGCUCGCGCCCAUCCGAGAGCCGCCCAGCAGCAACUCCAACGCCGGUGCUACUGCCAGGCCGCCUCCAAAGCCCAAGCACAAGGACGUGGACGUCGUCCCGCAGCCGGAGAAAGCCGCCGUGCACCCGACUGCCGCGGCGGCUGAGACCAAGCACGGCAAGGCCGCCCAACACCACCACAAGGAGAAGGAGGCCGACAAGGAGAAGGAGGACGAGCACAAGAGCAAGGACAAGAAGAACCACGCCGGUGAGGACAGCAAGCACAAGGAUAAAGAGAAGAAGCACCAUGCCGACGCCGGCGAUGAGGACAGCAAGCACAAGGAGAAGGAGAAGGAGAAAGACAAGGAGAAGAAGCACCAUGCCGACGGCGGCGAGGAGGGCAAGCACAAGGGGAAGGAGCACGGGAAGCUGCACGGCGAGCUCAAGGCCGACAUGGUGCGCAGGGCCACCGGCUCCGGGCACGGGCACCCGGGGGCGAGCGCGAUCACGCUGGCGGGGGAGAACAAGGGCGCGUCCAUGAAGGUGGGCGGCAAGAGCAAGGACGGCUCAUGGAAGGAGCACCAGGGCGGGCACCGGCUGGACGGGAAGCCGGUGGACGGCGAGAAGAAGCAGGGGAUGAUGAGGGCGCUGAUCAACAGCAACGUGCAGGUGAUCAACAACUCGCUGCUGCUGCACAGCUCCUGCAGCGGCGGCGACCCAGGCGUGCACCUCAACCUCUCCGCCAAGUCCUCCGCCAGGAAAGACAAGCAGAAGCACGCCGCCGGAGCCGACAAGAGCGACAAAGCUGCUGCUGCAAAGAAAUGA
rnacentral:rRNA from 1 species